UGGGAGCUGACUUGGAAAUUGCAUA
rnacentral:piRNA from 1 species